UCAAGUGAAGAAGCGCAUACGGUGGAUGCCUUGGCAGUCAGAGGCGAUGAAAGACGUGGUAGCCUGCGAAAAGCUUCGGGGAGUCGGCAAACAGACUUUGAUCCGGAGAUCUCUGAAUGGGGGAACCCACCUAGGAUAACCUAGGUAUCUUGUACUGAAUCCAUAGGUGCAAGAGGCGAACCAGGGGAACUGAAACAUCUAAGUACCCUGAGGAAAAGAAAUCAACCGAGAUUCCCUUAGUAGUGGCGAGCGAACGGGGAUUAGCCCUUAAGCUUCAUUGAUUUUAGCGGAACGCUCUGGAAAGUGCGGCCAUAGUGGGUGAUAGCCCCGUACGCGAAAGGAUCUUUGAAGUGAAAUCGAGUAGGACGGAGCACGAGAAACUUUGUCUGAACAUGGGGGGACCAUCCUCCAAGGCUAAAUACUACUGACUGACCGAUAGUGAACCAGUACCGUGAGGGAAAGGCGAAAAGAACCCCGGAGAGGGGGAGUGAAAUAGAACCUGAAACCGUAUGCGUACAAGCAGUGGGAGCCUACUUGUUAGGUGACUGCGUACCUUUUGUAUAAUGGGUCAGCGACUUAUAUUCAGUGGCAAGCUUAACCGUAUAGGGUAGGCGUAGCGAAAGCGAGUCUUAAUAGGGCGUUUAGUCGCUGGGUAUAGACCCGAAACCGGGCGAUCUAUCCAUGAGCAGGUUGAAGGUUAGGUAACACUGACUGGAGGGACCGAACCCACUCCCGUUGAAAAGGUAGGGGAUGACUUGUGGAUCGGAGUGAAAGGCUAAUCAAGCUCGGAGAUAGCUGGUUCUCCUCGAAAGCUAUUUAGGUAGCGCCUCAUGUAUCACUCUGGGGGGUAGAGCACUGUUUCGGCUAGGGGGUCAUCCCGACUUACCAAACCGAUGCAAACUCCGAAUACCCAGAAGUGCCGAGCAUGGGAGACACACGGCGGGUGCUAACGUCCGUCGUGAAAAGGGAAACAACCCAGACCGCCAGCUAAGGUCCCAAAGUUGUGGUUAAGUGGUAAACGAUGUGGGAAGGCUUAGACAGCUAGGAGGUUGGCUUAGAAGCAGCCAUCCUUUAAAGAAAGCGUAAUAGCUCACUAGUCGAGUCGGCCUGCGCGGAAGAUGUAACGGGGCUCAAACCACACACCGAAGCUGCGGGUGUCACGUAAGUGACGCGGUAGAGGAGCGUUCUGUAAGCCUGUGAAGGUGAGUUGAGAAGCUUGCUGGAGGUAUCAGAAGUGCGAAUGCUGACAUGAGUAACGACAAUGGGUGUGAAAAACACCCACGCCGAAAGACCAAGGGUUCCUGCGCAACGUUAAUCGACGCAGGGUUAGUCGGUUCCUAAGGCGAGGCUGAAAAGCGUAGUCGAUGGGAAACAGGUUAAUAUUCCUGUACUUCUGGUUACUGCGAUGGAGGGACGGAGAAGGCUAGGCCAGCUUGGCGUUGGUUGUCCAAGUUUAAGGUGGUAGGCUGAAAUCUUAGGUAAAUCCGGGGUUUCAAGGCCGAGAGCUGAUGACGAGUCGUCUUUUAGAUGACGAAGUGGUUGAUGCCAUGCUUCCAAGAAAAGCUUCUAAGCUUCAGGUAACCAGGAACCGUACCCCAAACCGACACAGGUGGUCGGGUAGAGAAUACCAAGGCGCUUGAGAGAACUCGGGUGAAGGAACUAGGCAAAAUGGCACCGUAACUUCGGGAGAAGGUGCGCCGGCUAGGGUGAAGGAUUUACUCCGUAAGCUCUGGCUGGUCGAAGAUACCAGGCCGCUGCGACUGUUUAUUAAAAACACAGCACUCUGCAAACACGAAAGUGGACGUAUAGGGUGUGACGCCUGCCCGGUGCCGGAAGGUUAAUUGAUGGGGGUUAGCGCAAGCGAAGCUCUUGAUCGAAGCCCCGGUAAACGGCGGCCGUAACUAUAACGGUCCUAAGGUAGCGAAAUUCCUUGUCGGGUAAGUUCCGACCUGCACGAAUGGCGUAACGAUGGCGGCGCUGUCUCCACCCGAGACUCAGUGAAAUUGAAAUCGCUGUGAAGAUGCAGUGUAUCCGCGGCUAGACGGAAAGACCCCGUGAACCUUUACUGUAGCUUUGCACUGGACUUUGAGCCUGCUUGUGUAGGAUAGGUGGGAGGCUUUGAAGCGUGGACGCCAGUUCGCGUGGAGCCAUCCUUGAAAUACCACCCUGGCAUGCUUGAGGUUCUAACUCUGGUCCGUGAUCCGGAUCGAGGACAGUGUAUGGUGGGCAGUUUGACUGGGGCGGUCUCCUCCUAAAGAGUAACGGAGGAGUACGAAGGUGCGCUCAGACCGGUCGGAAAUCGGUCGCAGAGUAUAAAGGCAAAAGCGCGCUUGACUGCGAGACAGACACGUCGAGCAGGUACGAAAGUAGGUCUUAGUGAUCCGGUGGUUCUGUAUGGAAGGGCCAUCGCUCAACGGAUAAAAGGUACUCCGGGGAUAACAGGCUGAUACCGCCCAAGAGUUCAUAUCGACGGCGGUGUUUGGCACCUCGAUGUCGGCUCAUCACAUCCUGGGGCUGAAGCCGGUCCCAAGGGUAUGGCUGUUCGCCAUUUAAAGUGGUACGCGAGCUGGGUUUAGAACGUCGUGAGACAGUUCGGUCCCUAUCUGCCGUGGACGUUUGAGAUUUGAGAGGGGCUGCUCCUAGUACGAGAGGACCGGAGUGGACGAACCUCUGGUGUUCCGGUUGUCACGCCAGUGGCAUUGCCGGGUAGCUAUGUUCGGAAAAGAUAACCGCUGAAAGCAUCUAAGCGGGAAACUUGCCUCAAGAUGAGAUCUCACUGGGAACUUGAUUCCCCUGAAGGGCCGUCGAAGACUACGACGUUGAUAGGCUGGGUGUGUAAGCGUUGUGAGGCGUUGAGCUAACCAGUACUAAUUGCCCGUGAGGCUUGACCAU
rnacentral:rRNA from 1 species